CGUGCCCCACCCCUUCCUAAAGCCAAGAGUUGGCUGAUAACUCUUCCCACUCACUCAAUUUCACUCCAAGAAAAAUACCAAGGCAAGAAAAGCUCUCACUCUCUCCACCUCUCUUCAUUUUCGUCCCUCCUCUUUUCCCCCACUCUCACAACUUUUCUCCCACCAUUAUCACACUCCAUAGAAGCCCUUGAAGCCCCAAGAGAAGUAUCAAAGCAAGGGAGAGCGUAAAAAAACUAGGGCGUAAAGUUAGAGUGAAGGUUGUGCUUCGAGGGAAUUGGUCCGCAGGACAGUGUCACAGCUUAAGAUCAUCUCUAUCUUCCGCACCGAAGAUCAGGUGGGCUUACUUUCCAAAUGUAUGAUUGAGUUAUUAAGCUCUAAAUAUUUCAUGAAAUGAAAACUUUUUAUCCAAUAAAUGUUUUUGUGCGCUCUGUUAUGUUUAAGGCUCGCAAUUCAUGAAUCGAUCGAGGUUCUCUUAUGGCCUAACACGUUAUUUGAGAAUUGUGUACACUUGUUAGUUGUUUUGGUGGGUUGAUCUCCAUCGGGCACUAAUUCAUGCAAGAGGCGUUAUAAGGGUGCUCGGCUGGAUGUGUUCUGGAGCAUGUAUCAUGUAAGGACUGCCUGGGUAGCGUCCCGAGGUCAAUUCAACUUGUCUGAGUUACGUCCUCAGGGCAAAUAUCAUGGGAAUGAGGGAUCCGUCGGUGGCUAAAAGGUCCGGGAUCACAGCGAGUAACAGAACAGAGUGUGACAACAACGCGCUAAUAAAAUAAAAUAUUUUAACAUGCUUAGAAGUUCCUUUACUUUAAAACCUUCUAAGUUAUGUCAUGAAUAAUUGGAUAAACCGCUCUUACGAAUUGUGAAAUGUUUUAAAAGUUGCAGCCCACUAAGUACAUUAGUACUUAGCCCAAAUAUUUUCAAAUAUUUUUCAGGUUGAUGGCUGGUGUUGACGGGGAGAGCUGAGGCUAGGGUUCAACUCCGUGUUUUGACUUCCGAUGUAGUACUAGCCUUUAUCUGUCUUUCGUUCUCUUGACUUAAGACCUUUAUGUUAUGACUCUAAACGAUAUCUUUUGUUGAGCCUAGACUUUUGACUCUCAAGUAUAUUGAUUAAGGAAUGUUGGUUAUCUGAAGCAUGAAACUAAACUUGUGAUCCUGACGUUUGUCAUGUUUGUUGAUUGAUUUGUAUCAAUUGGAUACUUGUCUUUCUUCAUCUAAAGGGGCGAUGCCCGAUUGUUAUCUCUUCAAUUCGGAUUUCACAAGGUUUUUCCCUUGUUCAUUUUAAUGAUUAGUCGUACCCCAAUUAUAGUUA